CUGGGUGAAGGGGGUGAACGAGAGAAGGAGGGGGAGCUAGACCUAACCCCUUUGCUGGCGGGGCUGCGGCGACCUGGCGCGGCAACGGGCAGCGGUGAUGGUGGAGCGGCCUCGGGCGCGGCGAACAGAGGGAGCGGCCUGGCGGAGAAACGAAGGAGCAGGAGGAGGGGUUGAGCGUAGUUGCUCGGAGCGGCGGGGACUGGGGGACGUUGCUCCAAUCUGUGGCUCUGGCUGCGGCGACGAUGGGUCAUGCUGAUGCCACAACUGCUGGGGAGGAAGAACGGUCUCGUUGGUCUACAACCUCGGGUCCUCGGUCUGCGGUGGCAGCUGCUGCUGGGGAUGAUGAGGCUCCCACGAAUGAUGAUGCACGUCCGGCGGCGGCGGCUGGUCCUCAUCAAAUCCUCCUAGGGUCCGUUCUCCGUACGCGGAGAAAGCUAGACAUGGGGUCAAACACGAUCGGUAGAAUACUGUGGAACAAAUUGAAUACAGACAUGAGUCUAUAACAACGAAGGCAACUG
rnacentral:rRNA from 1 species